rnacentral:rRNA from 1 species
GACGAACGCUGGCGGCGUGCCUAAUACAUGCAAGUCGAACGCAUUUUCUUUCACCGUAGCUUGCUACACCGAAAGAAAAUGAGUGGCGAACGGGUGAGUAACACGUGGGUAACCUGCCCAUCAGCGGGGGAUAACACUUGGAAACAGGUGCUAAUACCGCAUAAUUCCAUUUACCGCAUGGUAAAUGGAUGAAAGGCGCUUUUGCGUCACUGAUGGAUGGACCCGCGGUGCAUUAGCUAGUUGGUGGGGUAACGGCCUACCAAGGCUGCGAUGCAUAGCCGACCUGAGAGGGUGAUCGGCCACACUGGGACUGAGACACGGCCCAGACUCCUACGGGAGGCAGCAGUAGGGAAUCUUCGGCAAUGGACGCAAGUCUGACCGAGCAACGCCGCGUGAGUGAAGAAGGUUUUCGGAUCGUAAAACUCUGUUGUUAGAGAAGAACAAGGAUGAGAGUGGAAAGUUCAUCCCUUGACGGUAUUUAACCAGAAAGCCACGGCUAACUACGUG